CCCUUAGAUGUUCUGGGCUGCACGCGCGCUACACUGACGAAGUCAGCGAGCAUGUCCUACGCCGACAGGUGCGGGGAAUCUUGUCAAACUUCGUCGUGAUGGGGAUUGAUUUUUGAAAUUCUUGAUCAUAAACGAGGAAUUCCUAGUAAGCACAAGUCAGCAGCUUGCGUUGAUUACGUCCCUGCCCUUUGUACACACCGCCCGUCGCUACUACCGAUUGAAUGGUUUAGUGAGAUCUUCGGAUUGGCGCCACUGCAGCUCAGCAAUGGGCUUGGUGGAUGCCGAAAAGUUGAUCAAACUUGAUCAUUUAGAGGAAGUAAAAGUCGUAACA
rnacentral:rRNA from 1 species